UUUGACCAUUUGAUUUUUUUUUUUUCAGGUGACUUUUUUUUCCUGGCUGAAGCAGAAGGAAUAUCGCCAACUUAUCCUGAUUUCAGAUUGUUUAUAGUGCUGGCUGCUGGAAAAAAAAAUCACCCUCAGAUGUGUGCACUGCCUUUGGAGAAAGCUAGGAAGGGUAAAAAGUGGCUUUUUUUUUUUUUUUUUUUUUGGCAUUGGCGUUUAUAUAUUCUUUAAACUGUUUUUAUUUGUUAUUACCUUAUUUAUAUUGUUUGUUUUUAAAGUGGCGUAUCUUUUAUCGGUCGCUCUUCCUGGGGAAAUUUAAACUACAGUGAAGUAAUAUUUGGUAGCUUUACAUAGCCAAGGAAUUAGUCUGGACAAUGAAUAAGCCAGGUGACAGCCCAUUUGACUAAAGACCAGAGGGACACACUCACAGUCACAGGGUUUGCCUUUGGGAAAUCAGCUUCCAAGGCAAACCCAGGCCCAGGAGACAGGCGCCCUUCCCAAGGCCUCGACUGAUGCAGAAUCCGGACCAGGUAAUGGAUGUCAUGGAUGCAUUUGUAUUAGAAAAUCUCCACCUAACAUCUUGUGAUGUAGAUCUGCAUCCUUUUCAUCACGGAAGACAUCAUUCUGUGAGAACAGGAACAGAAAGUAUGAAGUGGGACAGGAGACAGACUCCCUGAGGUGCUUUGAAAACUCCAGAGUAUAUAAAAGCGUCGGAUGAAUCCAAGUUAAAGUGCAUUAAUAAAUACUGCUUCCCUCAAACUUGCAACAUUGGUGUAAUCAUUAUUCCCAUAUCACAGACAAAGAAGUUACUUGACUAUUGAAACCCACCUAGUCAGGGGCAGAGCUGGGGCCCGAGCCCAGGCAUUCUAAGACCUCCUGCUGUCCCAGCUGUCUCCCUUUUGGCAUCCAGAGCACAUCGUCUGGAGAAUGCUUUUAAUUAUCACCUCGCCCAGAGUGCGAAGAUUUACCGGUAUGCUUUCCUCCGGCCCCAUCUUAAGCACCCCUUUGGGAAGUAGAGU